UUUUUCGUGUCACAGGUUUCGGUUAAAAUCCGAGCAGGAAUU
rnacentral:tRNA from 1 species